GGGUACUCNAGUGGCGAACGGGUGAGUAACACGUGGGUGAUCUGCCCUGCACUUUGGGAUAAGCCUGGGAAACUGGGUCUAAUACCGAAUAGGACCACGCGCUUCAUGGUGUGUGGUGGAAAGCUUUUGCGGUGUGGGAUGGGCCCGCGGCCUAUCAGCUUGUUGGUGGGGUAAUGGCCUACCAAGGCGACGACGGGUAGCCGGCCUGAGAGGGUGACCGGCCACACUGGGACUGAGAUACGGCCCAGACUCCUACGGGAGGCAGCAGUGGGGAAUAUUGCACAAUGGGCGCAAGCCUGAUGCAGCGACGCCGCGUGAGGGAUGACGGCCUUUCGGGUUGUAAACCUCUUUCAAUAGGGACGAAGCGUGAGUGACGGUACCUAUAGAAGAAGCACCGGCCAACUACGUGCCAGCAGCCGCGGUAAUACGUAGGGUGCGAGCGUUGUCCGGAAUUACUGGGCGUAAAGAGCUCGUAGGUGGUUUGUCGCGUUGUUCGUGAAAACUCACAGCUUAACUGUGGGCGUGCGGGCGAUACGGGCAGACUAGAGUACUGCAGGGGAGACUGGAAUUCCUGGUGUAGCGGUGGAAUGCGCAGAUAUCAGGAGGAACACCGGUGGCGAAGGCGGGUCUCUGGGCAGUAACUGACGCUGAGGAGCGAAAGCGUGGGGAGCGAACAGGAUUAGAUACCCUGGUAGUCCACGCUGUAAACGGUGGGUACUAGGUGUGGGUUCCUUCCUUGGGAUCCGUGCCGUAGCUAACGCAUUAAGUACCCCGCCUGGGGAGUACGGCCGCAAGGCUAAAACUCAAAGGAAUUGACGGGGGCCCGCACAAGCGGCGGAGCAUGUGGAUUAAUUCGAUGCAACGCGAAGAACCUUACCUGGGUUUGACAUGCACAGGACGCCGGCAGAGAUGUCGGUUCCCUUGUGGCCUGUGUGCAGGUGGUGCAUGGCUGUCGUCAGCUCGUGUCGUGAGAUGUUGGGUUAAGUCCCGCAACGAGCGCAACCCUUGUCCUAUGUUGCCAGCGGGUUAUGCCGGGGACUCGUAGGAGACUGCCGGGGUCAACUCGGAGGAAGGUGGGGAUGACGUCAAGUCAUCAUGCCCCUUAUGUCCAGGGCUUCACACAUGCUACAAUGGCCGGUACAAAGGGCUGCGAUGCCGUAAGGUGGAGCGAAUCCUUUCAAAGCCGGUCUCAGUUCGGAUCGGGGUCUGCAACUCGACCCCGUGAAGCCGGAGUCGCUAGUAAUCGCAGAUCAGCAACGCUGCGGUGAAUACGUUCCCGGGCCUUGUACACACCGCCCGUCACGUCAUGAAAGUCGGUAAC
rnacentral:rRNA from 1 species